GAACAAUUCUUCGUGUAUUUUGCUCCAAAAAACUUCGAGUUUUCACCGGAGUUAUGAAGGAAAACUACUGGAAAAGUGUAAUGUAAGGCUUCUCCAAAAGGAUCCACACAUCAACAAGUACAUGUAGAUGUUUCAAGAAUAGAGUUUUAAGCUGCCUCCAAUUUAAGGAAGACUUACCACCUCCAUCUGCAAAGAGAUCUACCCGUCAAAAAGGAUUCCAAAGACUGGCCAAGAAUAAAUGAACUUAAAUAAGCUGCACUUUCCAUUACAGUAAGGCUUACCAUCUUGCCUUGUCAACAAGUGUCCAGACUGGCCUAUGAUGACGGAGCUGCAAAUACUCUCCAUUAAGAG